rnacentral:misc_RNA from 1 species
UCCGGCUUGACGCCGGCAGUCCCCCGAGAGUCCUCAGCAUUACCUGCUAGUAACACGGGGCAAGGGUUGCGCUCGUUGCGGGACUUAACCGAACACCUCACAGCACGAGCUGACGACAGCCAUGCAGCACCUGUCAUCGGGCUCCUUCGUGAGAAGGCACCCCCAAGUUUCCAAGGGGUUCCCGAGAUGUCAAGCCUGGGUAAGGUUCUGCGCGUUGCCUCGAAUUAAACCACAUGCUCCACCGCUUGUGCGGGUCCCCGUCAAUUUCUUUGAGUUUUAACCUUGCGGCCGUACUCCCCAGGCGGAAUGCUUAAUGCGUUAGCGACGUCACUGAGAGGGAACCCCCCAACAACUAGCAUUCAUCGUUUACGGCGUGGACUAC